rnacentral:rRNA from 1 species
UAAAUCAGUUAUGGUUCACUAGAUCGUAUGAAUUACAUGGAUAACUGUGGUAAUUCUAGAGCUAAUACAUGCAACCAGCCCAGUCGCCUCGUGCGGCGGGCGCAGUUAUUAGAACAAAACCAAUCCGGCUACGGUCGGUUUAUUGGUGACUCUGAAUAACCGAAGCGGAGCGCAAUGGUCUCGUACCAGCGCCAGAUCUUUCAAGUGUCUGACUUAUCAGCUUGUAGCGAGGUUAUGUUCCUCGCUUGGCUUUUACGGGUGACGGGGAAUAAGGGUCCGAUUCCGGAGAGGGAGCCUGAGAAAUGGCUACCACAUCCAAGGAAGGCAGCAGGCGCGCAAAUUACCCACUCCCGGCACGGGGAGGUAGUGACGAAAAAUAACGAUGCGGGAGCUUAUAGCUUUCCGUAAUCGGAAUGAGUACACUUUAAAUCCUUUAACGAGGAUCUAUUGGAGGGCAAGUCUGGUGCCAGCAGCCGCGGUAAUUCCAGCUCCAAUAGCGUAUAUUAAAGUUGCUGCGGUUAAAAAGCUCGUAGUUGGAUCCGGGUAGUCGACGCGCGGUGGGCUCAACAGCUCUACUGCGUGCUCGGCGCCACUAUCCGGCAUGUCUUGCAUGUUCUUCACUGAGCGUGCUUGGCGGCCGGAACGUUUACUUUGAAAAAAUUAGAGUGCUUAAAGCAGGCAUAUGGCCUUGCAUAAUGGUGCAUGGAAUAAUGGAAUAGGACAUCGGUCCUAUUUUGUUGGUUUUCGGGGCUCGAUGUAAUGAUUAAGAGGAACAGACGGGGACAUU